CACUGAGGAGCUCAUUUUGCAUCAAGUCCCUCCAAUUGCAUCCAAUUUCCUCAAUUUGAAGGUAGUGAAGUGCUGAUUUUGCAGUUUUUCAGCAGCGACCGUUAGCGUUUCGGCUCGUGUGCGAUGUAGGAAGCUCCGUUUUCCACGAAACUUGAUUUGCUAGAUUGUAGACUUCAAGAGAAAUCCGUGGAGCCCAAUUUCACUGAAUUUGGUGGAGGUUAGUAUGGUCGAAUGAAGAGUUUUCUGGACUGCUGCCACAGUGAAGCUGAUUUUGAGCUUAUUUGAUGUUCUUCAAUGCUAUCUUUGGAAGCAGUAGACUUUGGACUUGAGACUCACCCUCUAUCAUUAUUCACUGGAUUUGGGACUAUCCUCAUCUGAUUUGGAGAUCUUUAGAUGAGUUUUGAUAUUGAAGUUUGGUGAAUUUUAAGCUUAAGUGCUGAAAUUGUGGAAUUGAUGGAUUUUAAUGAAUUUUGAUGAUCAGUUCUUGAUUGUGGAUCAUUGCCGGCUAAGAACAGGUGCGGCUGGUUCCGACAGGGUGUUCCACAGCUGAGUGAUCUCCUUGCUACCAAGAUUUAGCUUUUGAGGUGGGUGUUUCAACGGUUUUGCUUCUACAUGCAUGUUAGUCGCCGUGUAUGAUUGUCGGUUCAGUUCUUGUAUAUCAUGCUAAAAUUCAUUGAUUAGUAUGUACUUACAUUAUAUCUGUUGGACUUGGGAACUGACUUAGGAAAAAACCAGCGUUUUGAAUCUGUCAUAUGCUUAAACUAUCUGAUUUAGCUCUAGGAGUCGUUGUAUUUUGUAUCGCCGCAGUAUCGGCGUGGUGGAUACCCAAGGUAGUUUAGAUCUCUGUUACGCUCGUGUUGGGAUGUCGAGUGUAUUUUUAUAGUAGUGUUUAGACUGUUCCGGACUGUUGGGGGCUGUCGGGGUUGACGGUAGACCCAGAUUUCUAUUUUUGGUCUCAGAUUGUGCCAAAGGCACGUGGGUUUGGUUUCUAGACCUAUUUUGACCUUAUCUACUUGACUUUGGCUUGUGAGAGCCUGAUUGAGCUCGACAGAGAUACGCUUGCAUACUCGGUUGGAUAGCUCCAACGAAUGCUACUCCGGAGGCGGGCGCUGUGAUUUUGUAUUGGUGUCGUUCGUGCAGGUUGGACUCGCUCUCCACUGACUGCUUAGUGUGGAGGUAGCUGUAUACUCGCAACCGGGCGGAACAGCCAUCAUCUUCGGCUGCUGCUACUGCUGAUCCUGAUCGUAGCAAGGGCAUUGCCAGUUAGAGCCCUUCCCAGUUGCUGCUGUUCGAGAGGUUACCAGCUGCAGGUAGUGCUAGUUUUUGAGUUUCUUAUACAUACUUGUUGUAUAGGCGAGCAUUUUUGUUACCUGGAUGUACGUAUGUAUAUGGAACUUAUUCCUGUUUAUGCCAAUUUUAGUCGAGCAGCUCUAUACUACUGGUUGUAGUAUUGUAUGUAUUACAGGUACAGCUAUGCUUCGUAUACAGAAAAAAUUUCUUUGUGUA